UACGAAGGGGGCUAGCGUUGCUCGGAAUCACUGGGCGUAAAGCGCGCGUAGGCGGCUUUGUAAGUUAGAGGUGAAAGCCCGGAGCUCAACUCCGGAACUGCCUUUAAGACUGCAUCGCUAGAAUUGUGGAGAGGUGAGUGGAAUUCCGAGUGUAGAGGUGAAAUUCGUAGAUAUUCGGAAGAACACCAGUGGCGAAGGCGACUCACUGGACACAUAUUGACGCUGAGGUGCGAAGGCGUGGGGAGCAAACAGG
rnacentral:rRNA from 1 species